UUGCUCUGGUUUCCCUUAAAUGGAUUAUAAAUAUUUUGCCUUUUACUACAUAUUCCGUGGCGUGGAACAACUCGGAUGAGUCUUACUCAAUUUCUCUAUAGCCCACUUCCCUGGUGUU